rnacentral:rRNA from 1 species
UACGUAGGGGGCAAGCGUUGUCCGGAUUUAUUGGGCGUAAGGCGCGCGUAGACGGCGCGGUAUGUCGUGCGUGAAAUCUCCCGGCUUAACUGGGAGGGGCCGUGCGAAACUGCCGGGCUUGAGGUCAGAAGGGGAAAGUGGAAUUCCGGGUGUAGUGGUGGAAUACGUAGAGUAUCCGGAGGAACACCAGCGACGAAGGCGGCUUUCUGGUCUGAUACUGACGCUGAGGCGCGAAAGCGUGGGGAGCGAUCCGG